rnacentral:rRNA from 1 species
AACGAACGCUGGCGGCGUGCCUAAUACAUGCAAGUCGAGCGAGCGGAGGACGGGUGAGUAAUGUAUGGGGAUGUGCCCGAUAGAGGGGGAUCACUACUGGAAACGGUGGCUAAUACCGCAUACUAUAGGAUGACCCCAUAUGGGUGGAGCUAGUAGGUGGGGUAAAGGCUCACCUAGGCGACGAUCUCUAGCUGGUCUGAGAGGAUGAUAAGCCACACGGUGACUGAGACACGGUCCAUACUCCUACGGGAGGCAGCAGUGGGGAAUAUUGCACAAUGGGCGCAAGCCUGAUGCAGCCAUGCCGCGUGUAUGAAGAAGGCCUUAGGGUUGUAAAGUACUUUCAGCGAGGAGGCGUUACCCGCAGAAGAAGCACCGGCUAACUCCGUGCCAGCAGCCGCGGUAAUUC